AGUAAAAUGAUUGUCCUUCCUAGAUGACAACAAAGUGUUUUCAUAGAGCUUGGGCUUCCUAGCACACAGUCUUUAUGGUUACUGUGGAAUUAAUAAUUUUACAGAUAGAAUUUAGAAUUUACCAAAAGUCAUCUGCAAGUUGUCUUCUGUAUAAAUAAUUCACAAUCAUGGAGGAUGUUUCCAAAUAAUUCCGUUUUAACACUUGAUUGACAGGAAGAAGAUAAAAAAGAAAGAUCUAUAUUUUAUUUCUGUGCUUCAACUGGUGUGCCAUGGAGAUUGUCAUUUGCAAUAUUCUGAAAAACAGCUGUGGUUGUCUUAAAAUUGACACUGGAAAAAAUGUUGCUGGAGAAUCACCUUGGAUGAAAACAGAGCAGUUCAAGCAGGAAUGGUGUUCUCCACGGCUCUCCACGGCUUCCCUAACACACCAGUGAGCCACGAGACCCAGGCAGAAAUUCCAGUGUGGGGAGAGUGUGAGUCAUGAGAUGCUUUUUGCAUGACACUCUCCUGAUUGCCUUCCUUCUGCAAACACUGACCAUUAGGAAGACACUGCUGUAGAGUCUGAAACCAAACCAGCCUAUUCCUUGUUCUCAAGUCAUCUUGGGUUGGAAGCUGCUGAAAACCUUCCUUCUGGAUAAAUAACUGUGAUGUCCCCAUCAUCCCCAGAAUUGGAU
rnacentral:lncRNA from 1 species